GACGAACGCUGGCGGCGUGCCUAAUACAUGCAAGUCGAGCGCUGAAGGUUGGUACUUGUACCAACUGGAUGAGCAGCGAACGGGUGAGUAACGCGUGGGUAAUCUGCCUUUGAUUGGGGGACAACAUUGGGAAACGAAUGCUAAUACCGCAUAAAAACUUUAAACACAAGUUUUAAGUGUGAAAGAUGCAAUUGCAUCACUCAAAGAUGAUUCCGCGUUGUAUUAGCUAGUUGGUGAGGUAAAGGCUCACCAAGGCGAUGAUACAUAGCCGACCUGAAAGGGUGGUCCGCCCAAAUUGGAACGGAGACACGCCCAAGACUCUUCGGGAAGGAACAAUAGGGGAACAUCGGACAAUGACGGAAAGCUUGACGAAGAACGACGGCGUGGGUGAGGAAGUUUUCCGGUCGGUAAACUCUGUUUGUAGGGAAGGAAGAGAGUCAGAGUAAAACGCUCAUCAAGUGACGGUAACUAACCAGAAAGCAACGGCUAACUACGUG
rnacentral:rRNA from 1 species